rnacentral:rRNA from 1 species
GAUGAACGCUGGCGGCGUGCCUAAUACAUGCAAGUCGAGCGAACAGACGAGGAGCUUGCUCCUCUGACGUUAGCGGCGGACGGGUGAGUAACACGUGGAUAACCUACCUAUAAGACUGGGAUAACUUCGGGAAACCGGAGCUAAUACCGGAUAACAUGUUGAACCGCAUGGUUCAACAGUGAAGGACGGUCUUGCUGUCACUUAUAGAUGGAUCCGCGCCGCAUUAGCUAGUUGGUAAGGUAACGGCUUACCAAGGCAACGAUGCGUAGCCGACCUGAGAGGGUGAUCGGCCACACUGGAACUGAGACACGGUCCAGACUCCUACGGGAGGCAGCAGUAGGGAAUCUUCCGCAAUGGGCGAAAUCCUGACGGAGCAACGCCGCGUGAGUGAAGAAGGUCUUCGGAUCGUAAAACUCUGUUAUUAGGGAAGAACAAAUGUGUAAGUAACUAUGCACGUCUUGACGGUACCUAAUCAGAAAGCCACGGCUAACUACGUG